rnacentral:rRNA from 1 species
CAGCCGUAAACGAUGCGCGUUAGGUGUAUCGACGACCACGAGUCGUCGAGGUGCCGAAGGGAAACCGUGAAACGUGCCGCCUGGGAAGUACGGUCGCAAGGCUGAAACUUAAAGGAAUUGGCGGGGGAGCACCACAACAGGUGGAGCCUGCGGUUUAAUUGGACUCAACGCCGGAAAUCUCACCGGAUAAGACAGCAGAAUGAUUGCCGGGCUGAAGACUCUGCAUGACUAGCUGAGAGGAGGUGCAUGGCGUAGUCGUGU